rnacentral:rRNA from 1 species
UCGCAAAUUACCCACUCUCAGCACGAGGAGGUAGUGACGAAAAAUAACGAGACCGUUCUCUUUCGAGGCCGGUCAUCGGAAUGGGUACAAUUUAAACCCUUUAACGAGUAUCUAUGAGAGGGCAAGUCUGGUGCCAGCAGCCGCGGUAAUUCCAGCUCUCAAAGUGCAUAGAAUUAUUGCUGCGGUUAAAAAGCUCGUAGUUGGAUCUGUGCCAUAGGACGGGGUCCACCUUCGGGUGCGUACUCUGCUCCUAGGCUUUUUGCUGGUUUUCCCGUCGUAGCCUUCACUGGUUGCGGCGGGUGGCUGGCGAGUUUACUUUGAGAAAAUCAGAGUGCUCAAUACAGGCGUCUUGCUUGAAUGAUUGUGCAUGGAAUAAUAGAAAAGGAUUUCGGUCCUCUUUUAUUGGUUUUGUGGACUGAGAUAAUGGUUAACAGGGACAAACGGGGGCAUUCGUAUCGCUGAGUGAGAGGUGAAAUUCUUGGACCGUAGCGAGACGCCCUACUGCGAAAGCAUUUGCCAAGAAUGUCUUCAUUAAUCAAGAACGAAAGUCAGAGGUUCGAAGGCGAUCAGAUACCGCCCUAGUUCUGACCGUAAACGAUGCCAACUAGCGAUCCGCCGGUGGAUUUUUAGCCCUGGUGGGUAGCUUCCCGGAAACGAAAGUCUUCCGGUUCCGGGGGAAGUAUGGUUGCAAAGCUGAAACUUAAAGGAAUUGACGGAAGGGCACCACCAGGGAGUGAGCCUGCGGCUUAAUUUGACUA